rnacentral:lncRNA from 1 species
CCCUCUGUGACGUACUUCCUAGGCUGCAGCACCUAAACCAACUGAUUUCCUCAGGGAGACCAACAUCUCAUUCAAACCACGGCAGCCUGCAAAAGCUAGGCUUCGUUCUUAUGUGUGUGUCCAGGAUCUUUCGUGGGCCCAAAGAGCUGGAGCGGGUCUUUACUGACUUACCGCUGGUAUUUGCCACAGAAGCAGAAGCGAAGGCAAGUCGAUAACUAGAACCUUGAUUUCCUGUUACUCUUGGGAUGGAUAGCAUGGCUGCAGUCAUUUUAAAACCACAGACAGAAGUUUCCUGAAUCCACCUGGCUGAGACCUCACAUCAUGAUGCUGGCUUCUGCUGCAUGUAAAGGCUAUGCUGUGGUGCUGUGAUAUGAGUUAUAUGUGCCAUAGCAUGCAGAGAAAGAAUAUUUGAUCAAGGACCAAGACAUCUUACAGAAGAAAGGGUUUACAGUUCCAGAGUGAUGAGCAUUCAUGGUGACAGAGUUGAAGCAUAAAGCAUGACAGCAGGUGACAGGCAAGACUACACAAGGAGGAAACUGAGAGUUCACACUUGACAAAGCAGAGAAUGGGAAUUGGAGGUCCCUUCAAGCCCACUGGUAAGCAGUGCUGAGUGCUGUUCGUGACUCUGGGUUCAGUGGAGGCUAGGUGACAGGAGCCCUCUUGGGAUAGUUGCAGGGGCUGUCUGAAAAUCCUCAGGAUGUUUCCAGGCUGUUUAUAUGAUCAUAGAGUCAAUGUUUAUGGAUGGGGUGAGUAUGACCUCAUUGCCAAGUUCUGAUGCAAAGAACAACGCCAGAAGAAUCAGGCAGAGAUACCACAUAGAUCCACAUCUGCUAAGAUUUAGGGGGAAAGGGGUAAUCUAUAGUUUAUAGAAGGACUAACCAGCAUUUAUGCUCCAUAGGGACCAGAAAUGUACAAACACUUCUCUCUCAUCUCGUGAAAUGGGAACAGUUCUUAUUUCCCAGAUUCCCAGAUGAGAAAACAGGUCCAGAGUGGUUAGGUGGUUAGGAAGUUCACACGUGUAAACUGAAGACCAGAAGCUGACCUUUGGAGACAUCUAGUCCAGCAGAGCAGCUGCUGCAUUCUCAGUAUCUUCAACGUGAGACAACCAUGUCGGAAAACCCAACCCAUAUCAGUUUCAGGUUCUGAUGUCGCCAUCUGGCCUAAGGCCCCUGCAUGCACUGGUGCUACUGCGUAUGAACUCACAUAAGCGCACGCAAACACAUAAAAACAGGAUAAAGUUUCACAUCGAAACAUUCGCACCACAGCAUGGACGCUUCUCUCUGCACUUGGACAUAUUUUCAGUGGAAUGAGAAUACAGACAAAAAGAGGAUUUCACAAAUAGGAUUUUCAGUCUCCAAAGAGAUUUGAGGCAAUAGGCACCUGUAAUGAAGUUCUGACAAUAAAAGAAGUUGGGCAUCUCAUUUCCAUCUUGCAUGCCAAAUCUUUCAUCCUCUCCUGGAAGAUGACCCCAACACAUCAAGCGCAAGAGAAUGAAGACACAGAACAUUCCACUGCAGUCAUGUCUGGUGAGGCUUUCUCCCCCAACAACAAAAAGAGUUUGUACAGAAUGCAAUGCCAUAAACAUGAAUCAUGUCGCCCUUACUGCGGACUCAGAGAGACGAGGCCUCCUGGACCACUAGAUCACUGUCAUCCCCUGGGAGAGUAAAUAACAGGGAAUCUACGCACAACCCAGAGCUUACCUUCCUGCAGCCAGCCCAGGGCCAUCACCCUCCGGUCUGACAGAAUAGCACAGAUAGGAGAAGGUACAGGAACCAUAGGACAUGACUUCCAAGGCCAGAGAUAAUUGAAUUACCUGGUUGUCAGCCGUGAUGAAUAUGAGCCACGAAGGCGGUAUAAAUGUCCUAUUUGUUCCAUGUCCCCGGUAGCACCUCCAGCUUUUUGUUUCUAUGUUGGGACUGAGUGACCUCUACUCCACAGUAUGGCCAUUUCCAGCCCCUGGGGACCUCUAAGGCACCCCUGGGAGGCAAUUGUGAUAUCAGCCAUGAAUUCCGUACCAGCGUGACAAAAUGUUCUACUAUGGGAUUGUGUGAGUCAUGUAAACUUCCUUAAUUCCCCUUAAGUUAAAGAUGAUAUUUGCCAAUAACCUAUGUAUUGUUUUCUUUCCUUCAUCUUUGUUGGCCAGGCAAAUCUCACCUGCUUUCCCUUGGCAUUUUAAAUCUACCUUCUCUGAGCCUGAUCACAGCAUCCAUUCGGGUACCAUCCUUGUCCCCCCUUCACAUGGCGAAACUGGUAGCGGAGAGAAGCUGCAGUCAACACAAACUCACACAGACAGUGCACCCCAAGAAGAGGGCCAGGGCUCCAGGAAAGAGAGAUGUGUCGCUCUGCCAUCAUACCUACCAUGAGCAAUUGGAUGCCAGGCACUCACAUUUCCAAACCUAAGCAAGCAGCAGAGACGAGUCAGAUGCUCCUGUCAAUGCCUGCCUGUGGAUGCCAUCACCUCCGUCGGCCACGAGUUCACGGGAAGCAGAUCCCUGAUCAUCUCACACCUCACCACGGUCGUCUAGGCUAGAUGAAAGAGCUCUUCUGCCUUGAAAGAUCUCCCGAGUGUGUGUCAGCCACCCGUGAGUCCAAAGCCUUCACAGUACUUACCAACAGGUACUCGGCAAAGAUUCUGCCUGCAGCCCGAAACUGAGCAAGCUCUCUCUUAGUCUAUGCCUGUAUCACAACCUAAUCAUCCCAGCGACGACCACCUCCCACUCCCCUCGCAGAGUGCCCACUCGCUUAAAACGCACUGGCUGUAAUGUUUAUUACCCAAUGAGGACACCCGUGUUAUUGAUAGCAGCAAUAAGGAUGCCAUCAAACAUGAAUGCUCACAUUCAGCAAGGGGCACUCUCAAGCACAAUACAGCUAAAGCAAGGAGGGGAUAUAGACGUAAAGGCACUUAUCACUGAUGUAGAAUGGAAAUGGCAAAGCUUGAAGCAGACCCAUUCCAAAGAGAAGGCAGACUCACUUCUCUGGAAACGGCCUCAACUUUUCGAUUAUUAUUAGGAAUGUUUUGAAUUUUUAUGUUAAUGGCAGAGAGAAAGUAGAACAAAGAAGAAACGGGCCUGUCAUCUAAGCUGAGACGAUAAUCAAUAAUGAAAACGCAGGAAUGGCGCGGCCUCGUCGUCUAUGCACAUAUAUUUUAUGGGGUUAGGUUCACACUCUCCUGAGACUGUUGAAGUCUGUGUUUGGACCCCAACUCUCAAGAUCCAGUUCCCCCCAUUUCAUUAAUAUUUCUUUGUAAUCGUAGCCUAAUACUGAUCUCUGAUAUUUUGCCUAAUUGUUCACCUCUUUCGGGCAUUUUAUAACCUCCUUUUUGUCCCCCCUCUUCCUGACUGUAGGUCGUGCUUAAAUAAACCAAUUCGUACAAGUAGGAAGAGAACUCUCAACUGAACAGGAAGGAUGGCAGAGAGGAAACUUGGGACCCCUUCCCCCACGCC